rnacentral:rRNA from 1 species
AUUGAACGCUGGCGGCAUGCUUUACACAUGCAAGUCGAACGGUAACAGGCCGCAAGGUGCUGACAAGUGGCGCACGGGUGAGUAAUGCAUCGGAACGUGCCCAGUCGUGGGGGAUAACUACUCGAAAGAGUAGCUAAUACCGCAUACGAUCUAUGGAUGAAAGCGGGGGACGGUAAGGCCUCGCGCGAUUGGAGCGGCCGAUGUCAGAUUAGGUAGUUGGUGGGGUAAGGGCUCACCAAGCCAACCAUCUGUAGCUGGUCUGAGAGGACAACCAGCCACACUGGGACUGAGACACGGCCCAGACUCCUACGGUAGGCAGCAGUGGGGAAUUUUGGACAAUGGUCGCAAGCCUGAUCCAGCAAUGCCGCGUGCAGGAAGAAGGCCUUCGGGUUGUAAACUGCUUUUGUACGGAACGAAACGGCUCUGGUUAAUACCCGGGGCUAAUGACGGUACCGUAAGAAUAAGCACCGGCUAACUACGUG